UGGUGACGCGGAGGGACUUACCGAGUUUACAACUCCCAAACCCAAUGUGAACGUUACCAAACUGUUGCCUCGGCGGGGUCACGCCCCGGGUGCGUCGCAGCCCCGGAACCAGGCGCCCGCCGGAGGAACCAACCAAACUCUUUCUGUAGUCCCCUCGCGGACGUAUUUCUUUACAGCUCUGAGCAAAAAUUCAAAAUGAAUCAAAACUUUCAACAACGGAUCUCUUGGUUCUGGCAUCGAUGAAGAACGCAGCGAAAUGCGAUAAGUAAUGUGAAUUGCAGAAUUCAGUGAAUCAUCGAAUCUUUGAACGCACAUUGCGCCCGCCAGUAUUCUGGCGGGCAUGCCUGUCCGAGCGUCAUUUCAACCCUCGAACCCCUCCGGGGGAUCGGCGUUGGGGAUCGGGACCCCUCACACGGGUGCCGGCCCCUAAAUACAGUGGCGGUCUCGCCGCAGCCUCUCCUGCGCAGUAGUUUGCACAACUCGCACCGGGAGCGCGGCGCGUCCACGUCCGUAAAACACCCAACUUUCUGAAAUGUUGACCUCGGAUCAGGUAGGAAUACCCGCUGAACUUAAGCAUAUCAAAAAGCGGAGGAAUCAAUAAAUCGAAGGAUUUUUUUUUUA
rnacentral:rRNA from 1 species